rnacentral:tRNA from 1 species
ACUGGGGUGGCAGAGCAUGGUCAAUUGCCAAAGGCCUAAGCCCUUUAAACAGGGGUUCAAGUCCCCUUCCCAGUU